CUCUGGUGUCUAAACGAAACGAAAAUCGACGACGAUUAUUUUGCUACUCGUCGAGCGACAUUUGCUGUGAGCAUUAUUUGUCAUACGGUAAUAAACUGGUUGUUAUUGUUAAACACCUUCUAGUGUACUUUCAUUAUCCUUCACGAUACUCAUAAUCACCUCAUACCAAUGCCAAUGAAAUCAGUGAGCUGUAUCUUUGUCCAUACAAUUAUCAAAUUUUAUCAUUUAUAGAAGUUAUAAACGCAAUUUUUUGUUUUCAAUAUAUGUAUAUUUCUAUUAUUCUAUUCUUUAUUUAUUAUGCAUGUUUAUCUCUUUAGAUUUUCCUUCCAAAUUGUAAUAAAUAGCACAUUUUCUAUAUACAGCAUAGUUUACGUAAAACUGAAUUCGAUGGAUUCAUGCAGAAAGGCAGCGGAGGAUUUUCGCAACGGAGGAUGUAAUUGAAGAAUGAGUGUUGUAAUGAAUUGGUUUUGGUUUGUAAAUAUAUUUGGUAUGUUCUUGCAGCACUUCUUCUUUGCAUUCUCAAGUCCCUUGGACAGCCUUUGGGAGAACAAAAAGAAAGACACAGUAGUAAUUGUGACUGUAACCGAGCGAUCAAUCAAAUAAUCAAUCAGCUGAUAAAAAGCCAACUACGGCUUCCUCCUCCCUUAAAGCAUAUAAGGGCAAAAAAGCAAACCUCUUCUUCUCUUUACAAAUGGCAUUUUCAUACGGCGGUCUCUAACAUCAGCAAAUAGCAGUGUAUUAAUAACCAUGAAGAAAACCAACCACUUUAGCAAACACUAACCGAGGUCCACUUAAUACUUAAUGUCCAGUUGCUCUGUAGAGCUACUCUGCUGGGUUACUGCUGCAUUUUCCCCUCAUUUAAGAAUCGUAGAAAGAAGAAUCGGACUCCGGUCGCCGAAAUUUGAACCCAGGUCUCGAAACGUUUGUAACCUAAGGUGCUAACCACUGCGCAGUCGUCGUCCGGUGGUAUUUGCUGUCGAGUGCCGCCACAAUUAUAAUGAUAUACUUUUCAGAUGACUUCUUCUAACAGCCAAAGACUGGUCUUACGAGGUAAAAGCUACGGAAGUAUAAUAUUUGUGUUGCGUUUCAACGAGAAAAUAAUGAUAGGAAAAUCACGUGAGAGUGAAAGAGACGAGAUGAUAAGUUCAACUUCUUAGCAAUUAUUUAAAGAAAUGAUAAACGACACAGGAUGUUCUGGAAGGACUAUUCCAAGAAUGAACUAUAAUGAGCACACCAGCAUGUUUGUUACAUUGUUUCGUGUGACUACAAGAAUCUAUUAAUCGGAAUCACCAACUCAUUCCAACAUAUAACUAUUUCAUGGAAAUUCUGCGCCGGUACGAGAUCUACAAAAAAGUCUCGAACUGUUCUGGAAAUAUACAUUGGAUUCCAUUGCGGGAUAGAAAGAUUUUUUCAGAUUUCACCUCAGUUAAUCAGGCAAUUAUUUCCAAUAAAAAAUGAGCAUGUGUUCCACAUUGGAGAUUUUUAACUGGUCGCGGAAUGGGUGAAAUUUCGCUUGAAAAAUUCCACUCACCCACACAGACAAACAGAACAUAAGCUAAAUAUAAUAAUUGUACUCUUUAUUGUAGCUUAUUUCUCUUAAUACUUUUUUGAUGAUAUAGAA